UCCGGCAUGGUCUAGUGGCUAGGAUACCUGGCUCUCAACCAGGAGGCCGGGUUCGAUUCCCGGUGUCGGAA
rnacentral:tRNA from 1 species